CCUGGAGGCAUUCAAGGCCAGGCUGGAUGUGGCUCUGGGCAGCCUGGUCUGGUGGUUGGCGACCCUGCACAUAGCAGGGGGGUUGAAACUAGAUGGUCUUUGUGGUCCUUUUCAACCCAGGCCAUUCUAUGUUUCAUUCUAUGAUUUCUAUGAUUCUCUUGCUUACAGUCAGCUGGUGAGCUUGUCCUGAUGCCUUUGAGCAUAGGAAGUUAAAAGCUGUGUAUAAACAGGAAUGUUUGUGGAACAGGAAGAAAAUUUAGUAAAUGUUGAAGGCUUAUAGACUAAGAGCAGUGAAGCAAUGAAAAUAUUCAGUGCCUGUUCACUUAACAAUUACAAAGGACUGGUGCUGUGUGUGCCUGUCUUGUGAAGGAAACACCGCUAGGUGGGGGUGUGCAUCUACUUUAGUAGUAGGAUUUCUCAGCCGUGUUUCCAAGGGGCAGGUAGGUAAAGAAGAGCAGGAAGGGAACUGCUUCCACUUUGUCAAUAGGGCAACUCUUGUCUCCGAAGCUGUCGGGAAGUAGCAUGUGGGGAGGAGACAGUGCUGCUGUAGAGAAGACAAUUUAAUGCAUGUAGACAAGUAUGGGUCUUCCUGUAACUGGAGACAGGCAUGCAGAGCCUAGGGAGAGAGGUUCUACUAGUUAAAAUAAAGAUGUUUCUAGGAUUUCCACCUGGUUGCCUCAUCAUGCUCUAGCUUUGUCUGUGUGGGGAUGUGCAUUGUCUGUGACAUCCUGUGCAGUCUGAAACCCAGAGAUUUAACGGCAGGCGGUGAAGUCUCUGGCAUUGCUGUAAUUGACACAAGGUUGCAAAGAACUGGGCAGGCUACCUGAGCCACUGAGGUUGUACACUUACAGUCGUGCUGCCUUGCAGACUGGUUACUGCUCUGCAGAACAUCCAACUUUUCACUGGAUCUUCUCACCUGAAGAGAUGAGUACGGUGGCAAAUCGGCACACCUCCUGCCCCGGGGCCUGCAGAGCAGCUAGUUUCCUGCUUAUCCUUACAGCACUACAGAAGCUGAGCUCAAACGGACCUGUCCCACUGAGUUUUUGACCAUCUCUCUGGAUUGAUGGCAAUCCCUGGAACACGGAGAAUUUACUGCAGUGAAUAGAAGGUCUGUCCAAGUCUGUCUGCAGCUGGACUACAAUUGCUUUAUUUUUUUCCUAGCUUUUUGUUCUGGAGAAGGAGCCAAGUCAACCUCGUUGGACUCUUCCCUGGCUGAGCUAAGGUACCAUUUUUAGGACUGCCUUCAGAGCACGCUCUGUAGUGCUUUGGUACUUGGCAGCUGUGUUCAUUCCCAUCUGCUGCUUCAUAGUGUCUGCAUCUCAGAGGCUUGUCCCUUAGGCCACUGGCUGUAAUUAUAAAAGCUUCUGAUCUACAAAUGAGUGGCACAGUGAUUCAGGUACUGUUAUCAAUAAGUUUUGCAGUGCUGUCAGUACUGGAAGACAAUAUUGUACUGGAGUUCCAUUUUUUUUCCUUUAUUCUUUUUUGAGAGAAAUUUAAAAGUUUUCAUGCUGUUAUUGUAGAGGGUUUUUUUUGUUUUGUUUUUUGUUUUUUUUUUUUCCAUUUUGGAACUUGAGUGUGUUGGAGGUCUGGAAACCAGAAGGUAUAGAGAAAGAACAUCUGUUAACGUACGAGUCAGGAUUUGAAGGUAAUCCUGGAAUUCUGAGAAAAGCUAAUUCAUACUGUUACAGAAUUUGGCUUCAGCGGGAAUGGUAAUAUUGCCAUUUCUGUUAUGACUAGAAAUUCUGACCUGAAGUAGCUAAAAGAAAGGGCUCCUGGUUUGCAGCAGUUUUGUUAUUUGGCUAUGGUCAAUACUGGCCAGAAUAAAAAAGCUUGUCUGUACUUCCAGGAAUCCAGUAGCUCACCAGGCCCUACAGCUGCCAGAGAAGUCUGAUGUUCCUGUCUGUCCCAGCAGCUGUCAUGGGCUUCGAGCCUCAGACUUCUCCAAAGAUCUUUCAGACGGAGCUGCUCCAAACAAAGUUUUGGGACUCACCGUGGUAGCGUUUAGGAAAGUUCUCCCUCUCCCACCAUAUCUGAUAUCUGUAUUUUUGACUGAAUGUUUCACUGGGCUAUUUCUAGCCACUCUCAUCCCUCAAGCAGAAUUCUCUUGAGGAAGACAUGUGGGAGGAAGGCAAAUGAAAGCUUUCAAAGGAUGCAUCGUGGAACUGUUUUGUCUUCUCCGUCCCGUAAAAGAUGCACACAGACCUGGCUAACCAGCCGCUCUGGCUGAGGAGAGCUCAACGCUCGGGUCCUUGGAAUGUUGAAGUUUAUUUCCCAAGCUGCUGAGACAAACAGAGUUUGUCAGAAAUGAUUUACUCUCUUCUUCCAUUUGGGUUUCCCCACCUCCGCUUAAGAUUUCAGACUAUUUCAGAAGACCUUGGAUUUGAUUACAAUAACCUGUACUGAUGUUGUCAAGGAAGAAACGCUCAUGAGUUUCUACCUAUUCAUGUUUCCUACAAAAGAAGAAGGAUCACAAAACCACAACUUUCACGUUGGUUUUAGGGGAGGGACGGAGGAGUAUUAUUCUCAGAGCUAAGUGUGGACUUGAUGCCUGUUUGCAUAAUUAAAUGAGACAAGAACAAUAAACUGGAAUUAGCCUGUCUGAAGGUCAAAAGCUCUGGAGGGAGUUCUUCCCUUGUCUACAAGGGAUCUAGGUCAGUUAAAAGCAGUACAAAGCCAGAACUGCUGCUUUUCUGUGUUAUCUAGCUGGGAAUUGGAGUUGUUCCUAGAUUUUGUUUUAUCAUAGGCAUAAGCUGUAGUAGUUAAGUGGUUGUCGUCGUCCAUCUGUUGAUACUCAUUGCUGUUCCAGUUGCAGUCUCUGCAGCUGUUUUAGAACUGUGCAAUGCACAUUGUGUGUGACAGGCAAAGCCAUGCUUUUCAGGGGUGAAAGCACAGGAUAUUAAUUGGAACUGAAUAUUUUUGUUCCAAAUGUGGUUGUCUGUCAUAGACAAUGGGAUGGAUACAGGUGUGAGCUGGUGAUGAGGCUUCAGUCUUGAAUGUGGUCCUUGAAAGUAACAUCUGCAACUUCUGAUUCUGGGCCUGACUUGCCCAGAUUUUUCUCCAGUGAGCUCUGAUUUCAGCUUCACUAGAAGGAAUUGUGCUUCUGCGGCCUCAAGUGAAGUAUCUCAGGGCUUAUCUCAUGUUGGGAUGUAGGACUGUGCCAUCAAAGCUUUUCUUUGCAUGAGCCCUUUGCAUCAGCAACUGGAAUGUCUCAACAGUACUGUGAUUUUUCCACUGUGUUUGUUACUCCAAAUCACAUGGAGCUGACUGCAAGUUUUGCAUGGGCAACAAAAGCAAAGCUCUCUUUUGCCAGCUAGGAAUCUGACCCCGGAUGCUGCACCCAGGAGCGUGUUUGGGGCCGGCUGCAGGAGGAUUCUGUAGGCUGGAUCUCUGGGCAGGUCCCAGUGUGGAAGCAAUGAUGCAGGAAAGUCUUCAUCUGGCUGCUGCUCACUUGGAACUUCUUGCAGAUGUGCUGGACCUGACAUCUGAAAAUCUUAGCCGUGCUGUCCAGUUAUGGAUCCCUGAAGAUUACAGAUUUGAAGGGGCUAAUGUGUAUGUGCCUAAAUAUGUCUUCAUAAGCAUAUCUGCGUGUGUUGUUCUGUUAACCACUACUAGGUGCUUAGAGAAAAAAAGGCAGAAAAAACCAGCUGAUCGCAACUUACUCUUGCACUCCAACAUCUGCCUGCCAGACUCAAGAAGCAGCGUAAUCCCUGCUCAUGUGGUUUUCAUACUUUGAUUUCCCACUAAGACCAAAUGCUGGAGAGGAUCUCAUCCCCCUCUGGCAGAGGGCAAGCUGACAAUGUAUUGGCAGGACAGAAGGCAUCUACCAUUGGACUUGUUUACAUGCCAGCAUUACCCGAUUAAUCAGACUGGUAGUAUAUGUGUAUUGUUCUUGUAUUGCUUCAUUACUGAAGCCUUGGCCUGAGGAAGCUAUUGAUUGGGCUGGAAUUGCUUUUGCGGUUACCCAGACAGGCCAUGGAGGUGAAAUGCUGGUUCUGUGCAUUUGUGAGUCACAAAAAAUGAAGGCCAGUGGGUGUAUUACAGGUCAGGUCAGGCAGGAUCUCCACCCUUCACUACGGUAAUUUCCAGAUGGGGCUCUGGUUAUGAGCAGUUUUCCUGUUAGCCACUGAACUGAUUUCAGAGAAAUAAAAGAAUUGUUAUUUUCCUCCCCCUACAGUGAAAUGAGACCUUCUAUCUUCUCUUGAGUUCUUUCUGGAUGACAGCACCACUCAUUGAAGAAGCUUCAAGGUAGGUGCUGUAGGUUCACCUCUGCUGUCUGGGUGGUAGGCUGUUAGGACAUUCCUUAAAAAUGCAGAAGAAAAACAGUGAAUUCUUCUGCUUAAGUGGAUCUAAUGAGCACUCUCGUGGCAGAUGCACUACCUGGCUAUCCCAGUAGCAUUUUGGAGGUGAUGAAAUCUGAGUUCCUGCAGACAAAACUUUGGAAAUGUUUGGUAGCAAUCAGACAGAUAUGACUCUCUCCAGCCCAUGCCUGAGCUACUCAUCUAAAGUGAGGCGGUGGGUUUCAAAAACAAUACUGCAGGCAGUAUGCUGACUGCUCGAGGGAAGCUGCAUGCCCACACCAUGGUCUCUUUCUACUAAUUUAGCCUCAUGUUUUCUUCUGGCUCCAACUGCUUGAUGUCUUCAGAUGAAUUGGCAAGACAUUUUGAAUCAGUCAACAUCUGACAUUCAGUAAAUAAGUUAUGUGCUUCCUCAAGUCUUGCCCAGAGCGUUUUCCAGCUCCAUAAAACUCUUUUCUGUUGGUUUGAAAGGGGAACAGAAAUGGAGUACAUUUUUUAACUCAGUCAUAGAAUGUUUAAUGGCAGCUAAACAAGAACUCUGAUUUAGUGAUUUUCAUCAGAAUCAAAUUUAGACUUCGUCAUCUACAGAUAUUUAGACUGCAGAGUUGGUGUUGCUGGUUUUCAUUUUUUUUCCUUCCCCAAAAUAAUUUACAAUGAGUUAGUUCAUCUCAUGUCAGCAUGGCCAUCGUGGUGGCAGUUGGCAGUGACGCGGGGGUUAUGCUAGCUUGAGUGCAAAAUUAAAUAUAGUGGCAAGUAGGAAUCAGCAAUGUGAAAAACAAGGGAAAAAAAAGAGGAAGAAACUUCAUGGAACAUUGCAGGUCAAAAUGAGAGAACUAUUGGGAAGUUACAACAUUGGUAUUUUAUGUUAAUAUUUUUCAGGGAAAAACAGGGACUAUAGGGUGAAAAUUGCCAUAAUUUUCAUGGAGGGAAAAAAAGCAACACAGUGACCUGGAUUGAGGGAAUUAACUUCAUCCUCAGCUAGAUUGCUGAUGAUACAAAGCUGAGAGGAGUGACUGACACAUUGUGAGGUUGUGCUGCCAUUCAGUGAGAGCUGCACGGACUGGAGAGUUGGGCAGUGAGAAACCUGAGGAGGUGGAACAAGAAAAGUGUGGAGUCCUACACCUGGGGCGGAAUAACUGCAUGCAGCAGUAGAUGUUAGGGGCUGAUCUACGGAGAGGGACCUGGGUGGUCAGCAGGUUGGCCACGAGCCAGCAGUGUGCCCUUGUGGCCAAGGGCAAUGGUAAGGUGCAUUUAAAAAACAAAAAACAAACAAACAAAAAACCAUGGCCAGCAGAUUGAGGGAGGUGAUCCUCCCCCUCUACUCUACCCUUGUGAAGCCACAUCCAGAGUACUGUGUCCAGUUCUGGGCUCCUCAGUUCAAGAAAGACAGGAAACUUCUGAAGACAGUAUAGCGGAGGGCCACAAGGAUUAUGAGAGGCCUGGAGCAUCUCCCUUAUGAGGAAAGGCUGAGAGACCUGGGACUGUUCACUGUGGGGAAGACUAAGAGCAGACUUUAUCAAAACUUAUAAAUACCUCAUGAGUAGGAGUCAAGUGGGUAGGGACAGGCUCUUUUUGAUGGUGCCCAGUGACAGGACAAGGGGCAAAGGGCACAAACUGGAACACAAAAAGUUCUAACUGCACAUAAGGAAAAAUCUUGUUUUGUGGGUGACAGAGCACUGGAAGAAGCUGCAGAGAGGUUGUGGAGUCUCCUCCAGAUAUACUCAAAACUCACCUGGAUGCUUUCCUGUACCACCUAUUCUAGGAACCUGCUUUAGCAGAGGGUUGGACUAGAUCCCCAGAGGUCCCUUCCAACCCUUGUGAUUCUGUGAACACAAUCUCUCAUAGAGAAAUGAUUGGAAGAGACAGAGAGGAGAGAUCCUCUGUUUUGUCUUUUGUACCUAUACAAUAGUUCAGUUGGACAGGACCUUCAAAGGUCACAGAGUCCAACUGCCUGGUCACUUCAGUGCUAACCAAAAGUUAAAGCAUAUUACUGAGGGCGUUGUCUGAAUAUCUCUUGACCACAGCACCCUGCUGUGUACAAAGAAAAUUAUUUAAUCAUCUGUAAUAACUUCAUGAUGGAAGAUUUAAAGCUGUUCACAGAAGUCAGUAUGACGAACACCUACACAAAACUACUCAUCCAUCUCCUUUGGCCUUAUCUGUCAAGCAGCAGAGACCAGAAAAAUUAUGCUGCUCCUGCUAAACCAUGCCUGAUUCAUGUGUAGUUAGAGAAAGCACGAAUGCCUUGACUAAUGUUUUGUAUAUUUGAAUUGGGAAUUGAAAGAGACCUUAGGGGCUCCAUCCAGAGUGACACCAGUCUAUGAAUGUCUGACUGAUAAUGCUGGAUUAGAACAGCUAUGAGCAGAUGGGCUGUGAGCUCUUCUUCCAUUGCAAUUUAACAAAUCAGUGUUAAGAAAGUUAAUUUGGCAAAAGGUUCUGCUUAAACAAUUACUGCUGGGUCUGCAGUAGUGUCUAGAAGGUCAUUCCCUGAAUCAUUGGCCUGAGAUGAAAUUUAUGUUAAAAGAAGUCUCUUUGUAAGUAGGGUCCAGAGACAAUUCAUUGGCUUUGUGUAGGACAGAUGAUGCUGUCUGCUUGCUUUCCCUAAGGCACAGCCAUAAAUACUGCUGUAGUAAUGUGAGAUCAUAGAAAAAUCUGAAGUAGUUUUUGCUCUGAGGGAUGUUGUGUCAGAAGAAGCUUGAAUAGCAGUAUGUGUUCUCUAAUAAGGAGAUCUAGUUCAUUUUUUUUCGAGAUUACCUAGUUAAUAUAUUGGCUACAGCUGAAGUAUUUUUGCACAUAUGGACAAAAGUUCACAUCCGCUGUCUAGAAGAGGGUAUAUAAAAGUAUUCCUGAAAGAUGAAUGGGUGAUGCUGGCAAAAUGCUGCUAUGUUGCACACAGGUACUUAUGUUCUGAAGAUACCUGCCACAUAAUUACCACAUGCUUGAAUGUAAUCAAUCAUGCUGUGGCUUAGUUUACGCAAGGAUUCAUAUGAAAUGGAUGAUCACAGUGUCUCUUUGUGUUUUAAAACUUAAAUUUCAGAUGUUUUCCACUUAUUUCUCUAUUUCCACCUCAUUAGUUUUAUACAUUAUCUUUCUCCUGUAUAAGAAGUUGAGGGCUCUGAUGCAGUCCUUGCCUCCCUCUUAUUAAUUUGCAUGAUCCUGUAGAUUAUCCUGGGAUGCCUGUGGCUCUUCUGAGUCUCUGUGCUGAAGUGAAUGGAACCACUGGAUGUUCCAAGGCCUACUUAAUCCCGUAGGAUACAUGAAUUCCUCAAAAACAGACAUGAUCUCUGUUCUCAAAACAACACCUAAUUCCCAGUUAAAUCAUGCUGAUGUAAUAUGUUUUUUUUUUUUUCCAGUAGACUAAGGAGUUUGGAUAGGAAACUCUCAUGAGAAAACUAAAAAACUGUGGUACCAAUGUGGACAGAGGAUUCAUAUUGCUAAGAAGUUUUCAUGACUUGCUUUUUUUAACCUGAGUUACCAGAAAUCAUAUCCUACAUGGUCUCUCACUGAUUGCAUGGACAUGAACACCACCCAAGGGUGAGAUUUUUCUUGAUGCUAAUCUAUGAGUCUGCUUUAGUUCUCCAACAUCCAUUUGUGAUCGUCAUCUUGGUGCUCUCAAGUCUCCUUGUUAUGCCUUCACCAGUACUGUGAACCACAAACACAAUGCCUAACGAAAGCUCCAUGGCUGUGGAGGGGCAGCUGGCUGGCAUGUUUUUUCUUCUCUAUGCAGAGCAAGAGUAUUGCUGCUCAGAGAGGAAGCGUACUCCAUCAAAACAUGGCUCUCCUUCCACUGCAGAACAUGGAACUUGCUCUACAAGGAGUUGGAGUGGAGCUCUUCUCACGCCUUUCACAGAUUUUAUGCUAAACAAUUCUGUUGGGUCCAUGGAAAAGCCAAAGGCACUGAUCUUUUGGUUGAUGAUUGCACAGAAGUCUGUGGAGAAGUAUCGUGCUGUUGUGCAAGGUGGGUUCCAUCCUGAGAGCUGCCUUCUGCAAAUCUGGGAUAGUGUUGUUGCAGCAGAUGACUUUUCUUGUUGGUUCCUGGGAACAAGCCUGCCCUGUUACGUGUGACCAUGCCACCUCCCUUGGAGCCUUUCAGGCUGCUUUCCCUCCCAGCUUCUUUUUUUCUGGUAGGCAUUAAAUCAGAGUGGCAGCUGGCCAGCAAUGCCCUUUAAGAACAGUACUUAGUGUAACGUUGUCUUUUUGGCCAACGUUUUUUUUAAAUGUACUACACUGCUUUUCUUUAAUAGCCAUAACUGUUGGGAGAAAAAUGCAAAAAUGAAGCAGACUAGGAAGUAUAAACCUAAAUCUGUAGCCUGUGUGAAGUUAUGCAAUGGCGUGAUUUUCAGCAACAAACCUUGUGUGAAGGGCUGAAAAUUCUUUCUUUUUUUUUUUUUUUAGUAGUAAGAAAGUCGACUGACAAAACCAAAAUGAAGAGAAGAAAAUCAUACUCCCAUAUGAACUGCCAAGAGAGCGCAUAAUAGCUGCACUUAUUUUAUUAGCCUUCUGACCUUUCCUUUCUCUGAUGAGGUUUCUUUUUCCUAUUAGCUCUACUAGGAUGUCUACUGAGAUGGCAACAAAACAAACACUGUUUUUGUUGGCUAAUUUAUCUUUUCUGUGCGCAGGGAUCGCAGACAUGGAGGCCACGAGGCGAUGCCUGCCUUGCAGCAUUCACAAGAACCACCCUGUGCCAUUGGGUACUGGGAAGAACACUGCCGUGUUGAGGGCAACGCAUCCAUGCUCACGCAGCAAUUCAAGUCAUGCUUGACUUGGAGCCUGCGAGCAGUUUCCUCGCCUCCAAUGGAAGAGUGUCAUUUUGUUUGACACCAUUCACGUAUUUUUGUACAGAUACGGUAUUUCUUCUUCACUUCUUUAGCAGCUGCUCUACAACAUUGCUUUCUCUGGAAAUUAUUAGUGCCAGACUGUGUGGGAAGGGCUUGGUACUUCCUGUCCCUAUUGUUUCUGGGGAAGACUGGUUUGCUGCAAAGCGCUACUGGAGAGAAACGGGUGGGAUAACUGUGGCAGCGCUUGCCCAAAGUCCUGGGUUUGGUGUCCUUAAUUUACCAAUCAGUGGAACCAAGUGCUCAGCAUCAGUGGAACCAAGUGUUUCAACAUUUUCUACUAAAGCAGUAAGGGUUGGCUGUCCCGCUGCCAUAGAGCAGGACUAUGGAAUUUUUGGACUUACAUGGAAAUCUGAGGAAACUUCAGAAAUAAUUCUGGAAUAUGCCCAGCAGACUGCAUGGUAACAGAGGAGCUGGCUGAAGAAUUUAUAGCUGUGGAGAGAGAAUAAUAAUCUUUUUCUAAAGAACUGUUGAUCCAGGGAAGGGAAAAAACAACUCAGAAUGCUAACAGAGAAUCUGUCAAUUAUUUUUUUUUCUCUGGUGGACGACUUAUGAGGAACCUAUACCUCCAUAAAUCACAGAAAUAAAACAACACAGCUGAAAUUAACCAGCAGCAUUUAGACGGAAUUUGGGGCGAGGAUCUCACCAGCUUUCUGUAACGCCAGGACUGCAGUGCCAUGUUGUUCUAAUCUCAGGCACUUCCAGCAGAUAAGGUUGCAUAUAAACCACAACCCAUCUGCAAUUUCAGAAGGGCCAAACCAACCCGUUUAGGAAUGGCUAAAUUGCUACUUCUCGAGUUUAAGUGGCAGCUUGAUAAAUGUGACCUAUUUGAUGUUAACUCCAGGGAAGCGUAGCCAAUUUUUCUUUAGUUUAGCCUAAGGGAAAAAGUGUAUUAAAUCUUUGCAUGUUGACAUUUAAAGUCUUUUCAGAACAAGAUCACACCAUUCUAGAAUUUAAGGUUGAAUCAGUUGCUGUUAUAUGUUUACCCUGUGUAAUUAAUUUGUUCUAUUAAUUUACUUCCAGACUCUUUUACUACUCAGGAACCUUAGUUACUUGCCACGAUCCAUAGUACUAGACACUCUCAAACACAUGGUGUCAGUUAAAAAAACAAAAAAAGAAAAGAAAAAAAGAAAAUCCACCUUGCUCUCUUUCUGUGUCCAAUAGAUAACUGGAAAAAAAGUGUGCAGUAGCUGCAUCUGCUGUUGCAUGCCAGGUGUCCUUCAAGUAUUGUGUCAAGGUCUUGCCUGCAGCCCUAGCAGCCAUAUUUACCUCUCUGUGAUUUAAUGCUGAUCUCACCUCCCCAUGUUUUUGAGCAUUCUGUAAUGCUGCUUGUCACGGGCAGAACAGCAGAGACCACAUUUCCUCUGGGCCCACGGCACUAAGAGUUAAGCCAGGAAGCAAGUUGACAUGGACAUUUUUGGUGUUUGUAUUGAGAGGGGCGUUAGGAAUUGCCUUUUAGGAGCUGUUGCCCAGAAGGCCCCACUAGUUGAAAGAAUGGUUAAGAAUGUCUUCAGCUGUUUUUCUUUUCUGUUUUGUACAUCUGAUGCAGGCUUGUUAACGGGGUUCCCAUGGACCGCCUCAGCACGACAAUACUGGUGUGAACAAGUAGCUAUCCUGUCCUACAUUAGCCUCCUAGGUGCUGUUCUUACAAGGCAAGGAGCUGUGCUUUUCUGUGCACAGAUGUUCCUGCAAAAUCCCAGUUAAAAGACAGAGAAGAUGACAAUUGCUCACCUGUUUCCAAAGCGUAGGUUAGACCCAGGCAAUGGCUUUAGUUACAUUGAUUUGACUGAUUGCAUUGUUGGAGUAUGUCAAGAAUGUAUGUUACCAUUAUACACUGAAAAUAUAUAUGCUCCAUAGACUCUGAAGUCUUGAUUGGCUCAGCUAGAAAUAUUUGAGUGAGUGUUGCAGAACACUGUAUAUUUUCAAGGUGGUUGUUGGUCUCUUGCUAUUUUUUGAGCAGUCAGGAGAAUAAGAGUCAAAGAAGUUCCACCUCAGUGGAUUCAUGGCAUUGCAUUUUAAUGACACUGAAGCAAAUAUGCGUUACCCUAAUGAUCCCUUCCACUUUAAUAGCUGGACUACUUCUGUAUUUCUCAAAUAACUGAGGCUGUAAAGUUUUCUGCAGCUUAACUAGAUUGUUUUUGGUGUCAGCUAAUGUCAUGUUUUAUUGAGUCAAUGUGCUGGUUUCCCGCCAGCCGUAUUUCAUGUUUUACAGACAAGUCAUCUCUAUAGGGUACUGUUAGAAAAUAUUUUAUAACUUCUCAUGUCUAUUUGCAAACCACAAACAGUCUCUCUGGUAAAACAAAAUGCAUUCAAUUAUCUUAAUUUUUACUAAUUUCACUUUUCUCUGAAAAGUCCCUCUGAUGUGGAGAGUGCAGCUGUGGAGGAGGAAGCCAAGAGCAGCCCGGAGAGAAAACAUCGGUGUUGGCAGAGUGGUGGGAGCCGUAGCAGGGCAGGGGGAGAGCAGGCCUGACAGCACAGGGAGGGCUCUGUGCUCCAGCUAGGACUCUCACAGCUCCACCAGUCCCUGCAGCACUGAGGCAAGUCAGUGUGGGGAGGGUGAGGCUGUCCCACUUGCAGGUGACAAGGGCACAGAUGGAGGUACCAGCCCUUGCUGACGGCUUUGGAGUGGGCUCAUGUGACAACUCUGCAGCAGCCUCCCUGCAAUUGCUCUGGAGCAGCGAAUACUGAGGAGUGAGGUAAGCAAAGCGAUGCCAACAAAAACCGUGUUGCUGUUCCACUUUCUCUUCUGUAGAGAUGUGGACUGGCACAGCCCUGCUCUUUGGGAUCUGCCCAGAAGGCCUUUAUUGCUUCCCUUUCUUGAGGAAAAGGGUGGAACAAGCAGGCUGACCCCAGGAAAGCUGAUCAUCUUGCCUUCGGGGUCUAUAUGGCUUGUAAUGUUGGGAGGUUGGUUAACAUCAAACUGUGUGAAUGGAAGGAGUUGUCUUCAACUUGGAGCUCCAUUUGGGAUACCAAAGGUCUUAACCAACCUCUUCAGCAGUCUGUAAUAGAAGGCAGCUGCUCCAAAUACCGUGUUUUGACGGUUCAAAAUUAUUAACGUGGUUCUUUGCAAUAUAUUUUCCACAUGAUUUUGUUUUAAAUUCUGCGUGUGGCCUUGUGGCCAAAAGCCUUACUCAUGUCUGCAAGCAUGUGGAUGUAAAAUAAACCCUGCAAGGUAAAAGCUCUGAAUCAUGUGAGAAGUUGAAUCAUUCUGUUGGAAGCAGGGACUAACAAAUGGAAAGAGCAAUUCUGAGCACAUUCUGUCACUGCAAGGUGCGAAGUAUGUGCUGAAUAUGAUUUCUAUUUAUACUUUUAUUCUAAAACUGUCAAAAAUCCAAGCUUAAGAUUGCUCUUCUUCAUACAGUAGAACAAAGCACUCUUUCUACCUUGGGUCUGGAUGCCUUGAACACUUCCUAUUCCUUCAAGCACCCUUUCCAGUGAAGAGACAAUUCUCUACCUCCUCUAAGGUGGUAAUUUGCCAGUUACUAUCAGGAGCAAUCCAGCAUUGAAUUGGGGAAUUUUUUUUUAAUUGCCAGUUAAAAUAGAUGUGGAUAGUUUAUUAACAAGAACAAAAUUUUAAAAAAACAUGUUCUACUUCACCCCCCUUUGUUCCCUCAGGCUCAAUCAGUCCUUAAUUUCUCACUCCUCUUUCUCUGCUGCAAUGAACUGUAAAGUAUUUGUUCCUUGGGCACUGGCUAUGCUUCAAUAGCCACCGAUACUGGGAGAUCGAUCCCCUGAGACUGGAGAGCAAUCUGUUUGUUUGUUACUCCUCACUUCCCUCUCCUUUCAGAUGUUGGAGUGAUUUUGUGCAAGCUGAACUUGUUAGCUUGGUCAGUGUGUUUUCCUGUAAGUGAGCGCUGCUUCAUGUACAGAAGACAUACAAAUGAUUAGAAAGGAAGAAGAGAAGAAGGAAAAAGCAGUGAUUGAUUCCAUUUUCAGCCCCCCCCAUGGCCCUUUAGGAUGCUGCACUGAAACGGCAUCUGCACCUCUGAUGGUAAAAGUAGCUGCACAGAUGGCUCCAGCUUUGUUCAGCCAUGAGGUGAGAAUCCCAGAGGCAGAACUUCUGUUAAAGUCGGGCUAGAAAGACAGCAAGAUAGCUCUCAUAAGUUUUUUUUCCUUCAAGGAUCCCUCAUUGGAGGUAGGUACAGAUGUAUCUUCUCCUGGGGGGGAGAUGAUGUAUUUACAGAUGUACGUAACCUGCAGUUACGCCCUCACGGUUGCUGUGAACUGAUGUGAGCUGCCCAGAACAAACAGCAGUGCAAAGCAGAUUGCUACCCAGUGCAUAUAUGUGGUCGAGUGUCUGCAGAAUUAGCCAAAAUUCCCAGGGCAAUGGCUACAGCAGCUCUGUGCUCUAUGCACGGGUGGUCCCUGCCCCAAGAACGUGAGCAGCACAAAAUCUUGUACUGAUCAAUACUUCCUCCCAGCUUGGUAUCGUCUGCAAACUAACCGAGGGUACACUCAACCUGAGAAAACUUGAAGUGACAUUUUCAUUUGUGGAAUAGCUGGACAGCAGGCAGAUAUAAGGAAAGGGAGCUGUAAGGGAGCAUUAAGAAAAUCAAACAAAAUGUCAUCAGUGUCGGAGUCUCUGCAGAAAUAAGGAUUUUUCUGGAGAUGCCUCACACAGAAGGGGAAAGAAACCUUAAGAAUCUGGUGAGGGUUUUAGGGAGCAAAGGCACGUUGGGAACCUGGAUUGGAAAGGGCAGUAGAGGAAGAGGAACUUCUUGUUGAUCUUACUAUUGCUAAAAAAAAUACACUUUUGGCUUUGAAGAAUUGAGUCAAAUAAAGCUGAAAAAAAGGCAGAAUAAAUGGAGACAGCACAUAGAAAUAUUUCACUCAAAAAGAGCAGCAAAAAGAGCGUGCUAUAUAUCCAGCAGAAAAGGAGUUAAAGAAAGAAGCAAGCUGACCAAGUGGAGGAGCAACCAGUGGAAGUUCAGGGGCGGCUAUAACUGGGUGCUUGCUGCAAGUGGGCUUUAGCACAGAGGGGAAAAUGAUUUGUUAGGCUGCAAGAACCCUAAACUGGGCUGGUGCUGGGAGAGGCAGGGUGGGGGGUUGGUACAGCCAACACUACCCAUGCCAAGAAGGAGAGGGCCUUCAGCAGCCCAAAGAGGCAUCACUCUGCUCAAGCAGAGGUACUUCUCUGCUAUAGACUGAACAGGCCACUUGACCAUAACAUAAUACAGAAUGCUGUAUUAUGCAAAGCAAAGGAAUGAACGUCCCUCCUCAAUCUCCUUGCUAAGAAAUGGGAGGUCACUGAGGGGCCAGGCACUGGUGAGGGGAUCAAGGAAGAGAUUUUAAGAAAGAGCAGAUGGUGACAUAUUUUAAAGAGGUUAUAAAAAGGGGAAUCCUCGGGGCAGAUGUUUUCUCAAAGACAUCGGAACAAAGCACUGCAGUGACCAGGAAAUGUGUGGAAAAUAUGUGGCUGUUAAAAGAUGGCAGCAGCCACAUGGUUCAGAUUAACAGCAAUGACUGCAAAGACAAAGUGCAGCAGCAGGUGAGUCAGGCCUCAGCAGAGCUGCAGCUGUGCAACAGGUCCUGAGUCCUCCAUUCACUUUGCAGUGAUGGAAACACCUGGAAAGGUGACUUCAGACCUCACACUCUUCAUCUUAAAUGUUAAAUUCUACAGCAACCUCUUCUUUAAGCCUUUUUUUAUUUGAAGGAAUAAGACGACCUGGAAAGACAAUAGUCAAGCAAAGAAACUGCCCGAAAAAUGUACAUGGGGGGUUUUUGAAACAGAAGAGUAUGAGCCCAUGGAUGUAUAGAUGUGGUGUUCAGCCCCAGUCCCUGUUACAGAAAAGCCAAUGGUGCUGGAUACCAUCUGAAAGGAUGGAGCCACUUUGGGAUCACCAGGCUGUCAGUCAGUGUUUUGGCAAGCCCAUCACUGCUCUGUGGUUUGGGCAACAGGAGCUGAAGUAGGGCAGGUUCCUGAAGAGUGUUAGACUCAUUUAGCUUGGCUCCUGCUCAGCAAGAUCUGUUUUAUUCGUUUUCCUCUUGGUACAGUGCAAUUUUAUGCUUCAUUUUUACUGUAUAGGAAUUAUCUGCGCAUUUUGGAUAGAAUGCCUGCCAAAAGGAAAAAAAAAAAUACAUUUCUUUUGCUGCAAAGAAUAAGAGUCUCAAAAAAGCCUAUGAGGUUUCUUAGCUCUAGUGCUGAAAACGUGGCACUUGUGCACAGAUAACGUCCUCUCCAGAGACACAGUGGCAAGGGGAUGUCAAAAAGCAACAGGACUUCUAGGGCUUUCUCCUUGCACUGUAGCGAACAGGAUCUGCUUUUCCUGAAACACUCUCUAUUAACAGAAUAUGUUUCAUCAUUAACAUUUUUUAUUGGGUUGUCUGAAGCCUGGCUAGAAGUUUAGGCAUGCACUGAACUUGUGAAUGUGUUUCUAAGAUUUUAUUACAGAACUUUAGAAGCAGUUACAAAUUAAUAUAUGUUUGAGGGUAAAAAGUGAACUUUAAAUUAAAUAAAACAUUUGAACACAAAUGUGUGUCAGUUGUACAAUGAACUUGUUUUUAAGUCAGAGCUGGAAUCAUAGAGCCAUAGAAUAUCCCGAGUUGGAAGAGACCCACAAGGAUCUUCAAGCCCAACCCCUGGCUCCACACAGGACCACCCAAAAUUCAAACCCUCUGCUUGAGAACAUUGUCAAAAAGCUCCUUGAACUCUGGCAGCUUGGCAUCAUAACCAGUGCCACGGGCAGCCUGUUCCAUGCCCACCACCCUAACCCCCAGCUACCCCUCCC
rnacentral:lncRNA from 1 species